UCCUGGCUCAGAUUGAACGCUGGCGGCAUGCCUUACACAUGCAAGUCGAACGGCAGCACGGGAGCUUGCUCCUGGUGGCGAGUGGCGAACGGGUGAGUAAUACAUCGGAACGUACCCAGGAGUGGGGGAUAACGUAGCGAAAGUUACGCUAAUACCGCAUAUUCUGUGAGCAGGAAAGCGGGGGAUCGCAAGACCUCGCGCUCUUGGAGCGGCCGAUGUCGGAUUAGCUAGUUGGUGAGGUAAAAGCUCACCAAGGCGACGAUCCGUAGCAGGUCUGAGAGGAUGAUCUGCCACACUGGGACUGAGACACGGCCCAGACUCCUACGGGAGGCAGCAGUGGGGAAUUUUGGACAAUGGGGGCAACCCUGAUCCAGCCAUGCCGCGUGAGUGAAGAAGGCCUUCGGGUUGUAAAGCUCUUUCGGCGGGGAAGAAAUGGCAACGGCUAAUAUCCGUUGUUGAUGACGGUACCCGCAUAAGAAGCACCGGCUAACUACGUGCCAGCAGCCGCGGUAAUACGUAGGGUGCGAGCGUUAAUCGGAAUUACUGGGCGUAAAGCGUGCGCAGGCGGUUUCGUAAGACAGACGUGAAAUCCCCGGGCUCAACCUGGGAACUGCGUUUGUGACUGCGAGG
rnacentral:rRNA from 1 species